UACAGAGGUCUCAAGCGUUGUUCGGAUUCAUUGGGCGUAAAGGGUGUGUAGGUGGCGCCGUAAGUCGGGUGUGAAAUUUCGGAGCUUAACUCCGAAACUGCAUUCGAUACUGCGGUGCUUGAGGACUGGAGAGGAGACUGGAAUUCAUGGUGUAGCAGUGAAAUGCGUAGAGAUCAUGAGGAAGACCAGUGGCGAAGGCGGGUCUCCGGACAGUUCCUGACACUGAGACACGAAGGCCAGGGGAGCAAACGGG
rnacentral:rRNA from 1 species